rnacentral:rRNA from 1 species
CGUAGGGACCAAGCGUUGUUCGGAUUUACUGGGCGUAAAGGGCGCGUAGGCGGCGUGGUAAGUCACUUGUGAAAUCUCUGAGCUUAACUCAGAACGGCCAAGUGAUACUGCUGUGCUAGAGUGCAGAAGGGGCAAUCGGAAUUCUUGGUGUAGCGGUGAAAUGCGUAGAUAUCAAGAGGAACACCUGAGGUGAAGACGGGUUGCUGGGCUGACACUGACGCUGAUGCGCGAAAGCCAGGGGAGCAAACGGGAUUAGAUACCCCGCUAGUCCUGGCCCUAAACGAUGAAUACUUGGUGUCUGGAGUCUUUAAUGCUCCGGGUGCCGUCGCUAACGUUUUAAGUAUUCCGCCUGGGGAGUACGCUCGCAAGAGUG